rnacentral:rRNA from 1 species
UACGAAGGGGGCUAGCGUUGCUCGGAAUCACUGGGCGUAAAGCGCACGUAGGCGGAUUGUUAAGUCAGGGGUGAAAUCCUGGAGCUCAACUCCAGAACUGCCUUUGAUACUGGCGAUCUUGAGUCCGGGAGAGGUGAGUGGAACUGCGAGUGUAGAGGUGAAAUUCGUAGAUAUUGGGAAGAACACCGGUGGCGAAGGCGGGUCUCUGGGCCGAUACUGACGCUGAGGAGCGAAAGCGUGGGGAGCGAACAGG